rnacentral:rRNA from 1 species
UACAGAGGGGGCAAGCGUUAUUCGGAAUUAUUGGGCGUAAAGGGCGCGUAGGCGGCUUGGCAAGUGGAUGGUGAAAUCCCUCGGCUUAACCGAGGAACUGCCGUCCAAACUGCUUCGCUUGAGACCGGGAGAGGUGAGUGGAAUUCCCAGUGUAGCGGUGAAAUGCGUAGAUAUUGGGAGGAACACCAGUGGCGAAGGCGGCUACCUGGACCGGAACUGACGCUGAUGCGCGAAAGCGUGGGUAGCAAACAGG